rnacentral:rRNA from 1 species
UAAGCGACUAAGCGUACACGGUGGAUGCCCUGGCAGUCAGAGGCGAUGAAGGACGUGCUAAUCUGCGAUAAGCGUCGGUAAGGUGAUAUGAACCGUUAUAACCGGCGAUUUCCGAAUGGGGAAACCCAGUGUGAUUCGUCACACUAUCAUUAACUGAAUCCAUAGGUUAAUGAGGCGAACCGGGGGAACUGAAACAUCUAAGUACCCCGAGGAAAAGAAAUCAACCGAGAUUCCCCCAGUAGCGGCGAGCGAACGGGGAGGAGCCCAGAGCCUGAAUCAGUGUGUGUGUUAGUGGAAGCGUCUGGAAAGGCGCGCGAUACAGGGUGACAGCCCCGUACACAAAAAUGCACAUGCUGUGAGCUCGAUGAGUAGGGCGGGACACGUGGUAUCCUGUCUGAAUAUGGGGGGACCAUCCUCCAAGGCUAAAUACUCCUGACUGACCGAUAGUGAACCAGUACCGUGAGGGAAAGGCGAAAAGAACCCCGGCGAGGGGAGUGAAAAAGAACCUGAAACCGUGUACGUACAAGCAGUGGGAGCCUCUUUUAUGGGGUGACUGCGUACCUUUUGUAUAAUGGGUCAGCGACUUAUAUUCUGUAGCAAGGUUAACCGAAUAGGGGAGCCGAAGGGAAACCGAGUCUUAACCGGGCGUUAAGUUGCAGGGUAUAGACCCGAAACCCGGUGAUCUAGCCAUGGGCAGGUUGAAGGUUGGGUAACACUAACUGGAGGACCGAACCGACUAAUGUUGAAAAAUUAGCGGAUGACUUGUGGCUGGGGGUGAAAGGCCAAUCAAACCGGGAGAUAGCUGGUUCUCCCCGAAAGCUAUUUAGGUAGCGCCUCGUGAAUUCAUCUCCGGGGGUAGAGCACUGUUUCGGCAAGGGGGUCAUCCCGACUUACCAACCCGAUGCAAACUGCGAAUACCGGAGAAUGUUAUCACGGGAGACACACGGCGGGUGCUAACGUCCGUCGUGAAGAGGGAAACAACCCAGACCGCCAGCUAAGGUCCCAAAGUCAUGGUUAAGUGGGAAACGAUGUGGGAAGGCCCAGACAGCCAGGAUGUUGGCUUAGAAGCAGCCAUCAUUUAAAGAAAGCGUAAUAGCUCACUGGUCGAGUCGGCCUGCGCGGAAGAUGUAACGGGGCUAAACCAUGCACCGAAGCUGCGGCAGCGACACUGUGUGUUGUUGGGUAGGGGAGCGUUCUGUAAGCCUGUGAAGGUGUACUGUGAGGUAUGCUGGAGGUAUCAGAAGUGCGAAUGCUGACAUAAGUAACGAUAAAGCGGGUGAAAAGCCCGCUCGCCGGAAGACCAAGGGUUCCUGUCCAACGUUAAUCGGGGCAGGGUGAGUCGACCCCUAAGGCGAGGCCGAAAGGCGUAGUCGAUGGGAAACAGGUUAAUAUUCCUGUACUUGGUGUUACUGCGAAGGGGGGACGGAGAAGGCUAUGUUGGCCGGGCGACGGUUGUCCCGGUUUAAGCGUGUAGGCUGGUUCUCCAGGCAAAUCCGGAAAAUCAAGGCUGAGGCGUGAUGACGAGGCACUACGGUGCUGAAGCAACAAAUGCCCUGCUUCCAGGAAAAGCCUCUAAGCAUCAGGUAACAUCAAAUCGUACCCCAAACCGACACAGGUGGUCGGGUAGAGAAUACCAAGGCGCUUGAGAGAACUCGGGUGAAGGAACUAGGCAAAAUGGUGCCGUAACUUCGGGAGAAGGCACGCUGAUAUGUAGGUGAAGUCCCUCGCGGAUGGAGCUGAAAUCAGUCGAAGAUACCAGCUGGCUGCAACUGUUUAUUAAAAACACAGCACUGUGCAAACACGAAAGUGGACGUAUACGGUGUGACGCCUGCCCGGUGCCGGAAGGUUAAUUGAUGGGGUCAGCGCAAGCGAAGCUCUUGAUCGAAGCCCCGGUAAACGGCGGCCGUAACUAUAACGGUCCUAAGGUAGCGAAAUUCCUUGUCGGGUAAGUUCCGACCUGCACGAAUGGCGUAAUGAUGGCCAGGCUGUCUCCACCCGAGACUCAGUGAAAUUGAACUCGCUGUGAAGAUGCAGUGUACCCGCGGCAAGACGGAAAGACCCCGUGAACCUUUACUAUAGCUUGACACUGAACAUUGAGCCUUGAUGUGUAGGAUAGGUGGGAGGCUUUGAAGUGUGGACGCCAGUCUGCAUGGAGCCGACCUUGAAAUACCACCCUUUAAUGUUUGAUGUUCUAACGUGGACCCGUGAUCCGGGUUGCGGACAGUGUCUGGUGGGUAGUUUGACUGGGGCGGUCUCCUCCUAAAGAGUAACGGAGGAGCACGAAGGUUGGCUAAUCCUGGUCGGACAUCAGGAGGUUAGUGCAAUGGCAUAAGCCAGCUUGACUGCGAGCGUGACGGCGCGAGCAGGUGCGAAAGCAGGUCAUAGUGAUCCGGUGGUUCUGAAUGGAAGGGCCAUCGCUCAACGGAUAAAAGGUACUCCGGGGAUAACAGGCUGAUACCGCCCAAGAGUUCAUAUCGACGGCGGUGUUUGGCACCUCGAUGUCGGCUCAUCACAUCCUGGGGCUGAAGUAGGUCCCAAGGGUAUGGCUGUUCGCCAUUUAAAGUGGUACGCGAGCUGGGUUUAGAACGUCGUGAGACAGUUCGGUCCCUAUCUGCCGUGGGCGCUGGAGAACUGAGGGGGGCUGCUCCUAGUACGAGAGGACCGGAGUGGACGCAUCACUGGUGUUCGGGUUGUCAUGCCAAUGGCACUGCCCGGUAGCUAAAUGCGGAAGAGAUAAGUGCUGAAAGCAUCUAAGCACGAAACUUGCCCCGAGAUGAGUUCUCCCUGACCCUUUAAGGGUCCUGAAGGAACGUUGAAGACGACGACGUUGAUAGGCCGGGUGUGUAAGCGCAGCGAUGCGUUGAGCUAACCGGUACUAAUGAACCGUGAGGCUUAACCU